UGGCUAUAUAAGUCUCAAACUAUCUCAUUUUGGCUAAGGAAGAGAAUUCUCACAACAUAAAAUAGUAAAAAGCAUUGACCUUGAUAUAUAUAUACAUACAGUUUUGUAUUUUUGAUAUAGUAAAAAAGAAGUCCCCAAUGGGACACCAAGCGGUGCGACCUCCUGUGUAUGAACAGUGAGGUCCCGGAUUCAAACCCCACUGCUUCCCCUCCCCAACUCCCCCCCCC
rnacentral:lncRNA from 1 species